ACCCUCUGGCAAUGGACAAAGAGACACCAUGUUGGUGGUGUUGUUCUUCUAUCAGUCACAGACAGCAGAUGGCAGUCCUUGGUUCAUCCUAGCUUGAUGCCUGGCUUGGUGGUCACAGUUGUUUUAUGCAUAGGAAUCAUAA